rnacentral:lncRNA from 1 species
AACCUCUCUGAGAACAAUUUCUGCUAAUAGGAGUGCCAUGGGACUCCCUAUUGGCACACCCGUAGUCUGCUGAAAAUAGCUGCCUUUAAAGGUAUAAAAUGGUUUGUAGCAUAGCAGGUAAGCGAUGUCUCUCAAUAGCAGUGCUCUUUCAUUACCAUUAUUUACAUUUUUAAUCAAAAAUCUAUAAAAGGCUAGCCAGGUUGAUUCAAGUUUCAGCAUAGGGUAUAAACUCUCAAAAUUGUAUGUGAAUAUGGUAUCUUGCCUCUGCCAAUCAGCUGCUCAUAACCUACUCAAAGCUUUCAUUGUAACCAUAGUAGAGUUAUUAUUUGGUCUUAGUAUUGACAUACAAGACCAAAUAAUAACUCUACAAAGUUGUGAGGGACCAUGGAAGUAUGAUGGGUGGGUUGGCCGGGGAGGAUGGUGCUGGAUAGUACACCUUUAUUAUUUUUUUUGAACCUUAAUUUAAUUUAAUUUUGUUUUAUUUUAAUGUUUAUUUUGGUUUGUUUUUGUUUACUGUAACUAUGACAACAUUCUUAGCACGAUGUUCAUGAAUAAAAACUUAAGACUGUCUUAAAACCUUAUAGUCAAUAUACAAAUGGAGGCACUAUUUGGGCGGAUGGGUGUAGCAAAAUGGAAUUGACUUUGAUUGCGAAC